GAGGAGGCAGGUAGCCUAGUGGUUAGAGUGUGGAGGCGGCAGGUAGCCUAGUGGUUAGAGUGUAGAGGAGGUAGGUAGUCUAGUGGUUAGAGUGUAGAGGAGGCAGGUAGUCUAGUGGUUAGAGUGUAGAGGAGGCAGGUAGCCUAGUGGUUAGAGUGUAGAGGUGGCAGGUAGCCUAGUGGUUAGAGUGUGGAGGCGGCAGGUAGCCUAGUGGUUAGAGUGUAGAGGAGGCAGGUAGCCUAGUGGUUAGAGUGUAGAGGUGGCAGGUAGCCUAGUGGUUAGAGUGUAGAGGAGGCAGGUAGCCUAGUGGUUAGAGUGUAGAGGAGGCAGGUAGCCUAGUGGUUAGAGUGUAGAGGAGGCAGGUAGACUAGUGGUUAGAGUGUAGAGGAGGCAGGUAGACUAGUGGUUAGAGUGUAGAGGCGGCAGGUUGC
ensembl:lncRNA